GCGUCUGUGGUGGAAUGGUAUACACGUCAGACUCAAAAUCUGAUUCUCGCAAGGGAUUAUGAGUUCAAGUCUCAUCAGACGCA
rnacentral:tRNA from 1 species